GGAAGGUUGGCAGAGUGGUAAUGCACCGGCUUGCUAAGCCGCCGUUCAGCAAUGGGCGCACUGGUUCGAUCCCAGUACCUUCCGCCA
rnacentral:tRNA from 1 species